GACGUAGGGCGCGAGCGUUGUCCGGAUUAUUGGGCGUAAAGAGCUCGUAGGCGGCUUGUCGCGUCGAAUAGUGAAAACUCGGGGCUCAACUCCGAGCUUGCAUUCGAUACGGGCAGGCUAGAGUUCGGUAGGGGAGACUGGAAUUCCUGGUGGUAGCGGUGAAAUGCGCAGAUAUCAGGAGGAACACCGGUGGCGAAGGCGGGUCUCUGGGCCGAUGACUGACGCUGAGGAGCGAAAGCGUGGGGAGCGAACAGG
rnacentral:rRNA from 1 species